AACGAACGCUGGCGGCAUGCCUAACACAUGCAAGUCGAACGAGACCUUCGGGUCUAGUGGCGCACGGGUGCGUAACGCGUGGGAAUCUGCCCUUGGGUUCGGAAUAACAGCGCGAAAUUACUGCUAAUACCGGAUGAUGUCUUCGGACCAAAGAUUUAUCGCCCAGGGAUGGGCCCGCGUAGGAUUAGCUAGUUGGUGGGGUAAUGGCCUACCAAGGCGACGAUCCUUAGCUGGUCUGAGAGGAUGAUCAGCCACACUGGGACUGAGACACGGCCCAGACUCCUACGGGAGGCAGCAGUGGGGAAUAUUGGACAAUGGGCGCAAGCCUGAUCCAGCAAUGCCGCGUGAGUGAUGAAGGCCUUAGGGUUGUAAAGCUCUUUUACCCGGGAUGAUAAUGACAGUACCGGGAGAAUAAGCUCCGGCUAACUCCGUG
rnacentral:rRNA from 1 species